rnacentral:rRNA from 1 species
UACGUAGGGGGCAAGCGUUGUCCGGAAUCAUUGGGCGUAAAGCGCGUGUAGGCGGCUUGGUAAGUCCGCUCUGAAAGCCCGGGGCUCAACCCCGGGAGGCGGGUGGAUACUGCUGGGCUCGAGUCCGGAAGAGGAGUGUGGAAUUCCUGGUGUAGCGGUGAAAUGCGCAGAUAUCGGGAAGAACACCCGUGGCGAAGGCGGCUCUCUGGGACGGUACUGACGCUGAGACGCGAAAGCGUGGGGAGCGAACAGG